rnacentral:rRNA from 1 species
CUACGGGUCGCACCAGGCGCGAAACUUUUACAAUGCACGCAAGUGUGAUAGAGGGAUCCCAAGUGCUAAUGCAUCGCAUUGGCUUUUGCCAUAUGCAAACAGUAUGGCGAAUAAGGGGUGGGUAAGACUGGUGCCAGCCGCCGCGGUAACACCAGCGCCCCGAGUGGCAUCCAGCAUUAUUGGGCCUAAAGCGUCCGUAGCCGGUUUGGUAAAUCCUUUGUGAAAUCGUUGCGCUUAACGUAACGGAUGGCAAGGGACACUGCCAGACUUGAGACCGGGAGGAGCUAGAAGUAUUCUGGGGGGACCGGUAAAAUGGGAUAAUCCUCGGAGGACUACCGAUGGCGAAGGCAUCUAGCCAGAACGGGUCUGACGGUGAGGGACGAAAGCCAGGGGAGCAAACCGGAUUAGAUACCCCUGUGUC